rnacentral:rRNA from 1 species
GGAUGUGACCAUACCGGCACUAAAGCACCGGAUCCCAUCAGAACUCCGAAGUUAAGCGUGCUUGGGCGAGAGUAGUACUAGGAUGGGUGACCUCCUGGGAAGUCCUUGUUUUGCAUUCC